rnacentral:rRNA from 1 species
UACGUAGGGUGCAAGCGUUGUCCGGAAUUAUUGGGCGUAAAGAGCUCGUAGGCGGCCUGUCACGUCGGCUGUGAAAACCCGGGGCUCAACCCCGGGCCUGCAGUCGAUACGGGCAGGCUAGAGUUCGGCAGGGGAGACUGGAAUUCCUGGUGUAGCGGUGAAAUGCGCAGAUAUCAGGAGGAACACCGGUGGCGAAGGCGGUUCUCUGGGCAUGUUCUGACGCUGAGGAGCGAAAGUGUGGGGAGCGAACAGG